CCUANGGGCGGCAGCAGUCGAGAAUAUUCGACAAUGGGCGAAAGCCUGAUCGAGCGACACCGCGUGCGGGACGAAGCCCUUCGGGGUGUAAACCGCGGUAGUAGGGGAAGAACGCUAUAGCAAUAUAGUUUGACGGUACCCUACGGAAAGAGGUGGGUAACUACGUGCCAGCACCAGCGGUAAAACGUAGACCUCGAGCGUUAUCCGGAUUUAUUGGGCGUAAAGCGCGUGUAGGAGGUUCGGUGCGUCUUCUGUGAAAUCUCGGAGCUCAACUUCGAGCCUGCAGAGGAUACGACCGAACUAGAGGAUGUUAGGGGCUGAUGGAACGCACGGUGUAGGGGUGAAAUCCGUUGAUAUCGUGCGGAACUCCGAAGGCGAAGGCAAUCAGCUGGGACAUUCCUGACUCUAAGACGCGAAAGCGUGGGGAGCAAAAAGGAUUAGAUACCCUANUANUC
rnacentral:rRNA from 1 species